UACGGAGGGAGCUAGCGUUAUUCGGAAUUACUGGGCGUAAAGCGCACGUAGGCGGAUUGUUAAGUCGGGGGUGAAAUCCUGGAGCUCAACUCCAGAAUUGCCUUCGAUACUGGCUUUCUAGAGGCUGGAAGAGGUUAGUGGAAUUCCCAGUGUAGAGGUGGAAAUUCGAUAGAUAUGGGUAAGAACACCAGUGGCGAAGGCGGCUAACUGGUCCAG
rnacentral:rRNA from 1 species